rnacentral:sRNA from 1 species
UUGUGGAUUGUUAAUUUUAUUGGUUGAUCUUUUAGAUUGCUGAUUUGAACAAUAAGGUAUCAAAGACUUAUUCAUCUAGGAAAUUUGCUUAAUGAUGCAGAAUAAGGUAUUAUCAAGUGGAGCCAUCUCUAUCCUCGGACCUGGUUGCUCAGCCUCAAAGUUCUUCAUCAACAUAUGGACCUCUGCAUCCAUUCUUGGACAGUGAGUUCGUAUUUAUAUCCUCCUUUGAAAGCAUGUUUGGAAGAUUUGAGGAAGAAUGAGUUGAAGAAUUUUUUUUGAAGAAAUUGAAGGUAAAAUUUGUGUUAUUUAUUUUAAAGAAUUUAAAAAUAAAAGUAAAAAGAUUUA